rnacentral:rRNA from 1 species
UACGAAGGACCCGAGCGUUAUCCGGAUUCAUUGGGUUUAAAGGGUGCGUAGGCGGUAUAGUAAGUCAGUGGUGAAAUCCUGCAGCUUAACUGCAGAACUGCCAUUGAUACUGCUAAACUUGAGUACAAAUGAUGUGGGCGGAAUAUGACAUGUAGCGGUGAAAUGCUUAGAUAUGUCAUAGAACACCGAUUGCGAAGGCAGCUCACAAAAUUGUUACUGACGCUGAGGCACGAAAGCAUGGGGAUCGAACAGG